rnacentral:rRNA from 1 species
CGAAAGCCUGACAGAGCAAUACCGCGUGAGGGAUGAAGACUUACUGAGUUGUAAACCUCGGUGCCUUAAGGAGAAGAUCUGACGGUACUAAGGUGGAAAGCAUCGGCUAACUCCGUGCCAGCAGCCGCGGUAAGACGGGGGAUGCAAGUGUUAUCCGGAAUCACUGGGCGUAAAGCGUCUGCAGGUGGUUUCCUAAGUCCACUGUAAACCUUGAGGCUCAACCUCAAAUCUGCAUUGGAAACUAGGAGACUUGAGUAUAGUAGGGGUAGAGGGAAUUUCCAGUGGAGCGGUGAAAUGCGUAGAUAUUGGAAAGAACACCGAUGGCGAAGGCACUCUACUGGGUUAUUACUGACACUCAGAGACGAAAGCUAGGGGAGCAAAUGGGAUUAGAUACCCCAGUAGUCCUAGCCGUAAACGAUGGAUACUCGAUGUUGGACGUAUCGACCCGUUCAGUAUCUUAGCUAACGCGUUAAGUAUCCCGCCUGGGAAGUACGCUCGCAAGAGUG